UGUGAUGCUGGAGCAGGGUUGGUGUUACCAGCAGGAGGACACAUUUGAAAAUCACAGCUCCUGAAGGGCUUCAUUCAUUUCCUGAAGGCUUGAGACUGUUUCCAGCACUGUGACCUUAUGUCCCAGGAAAGUGAGGGCUCUGGUUCCCAAGCCCUAGUGACUCACCCCGGAGAAGUUGAAGAAACUGCUGUCUUCAACCCGCCUUGCUGAGGUGCCGCAGGGAGUUAACCCAAAGAAGAGGUGGCUGGACAAAUGGUGUGUCCACUGCUAACCGUUUCAGCUCAUAGCCUGAUGCACCAAUGUAAACCACCACUGCUACCACUUUACUCCGAUAUCCUGGACCGAGAAAUGCAGAAAGGAGUGAUUUAAUCCAGGAUCAUAUCAACAUAUAUCACUGUGGAGAAUAAGGAGUUUAUUGCCCGCAGCUGGGGAGAUGGGUUACCUUGCCAGCUAGGGCAGCUAAAUCCAACAGAGUCUGUUAGUCAGAGCUGUCAGACGGGAGAGAACGGGCCAGAACAGACAGCACUCACCAAGCAGCUGUAAAACAAGUAGUGUAGUGCUUUUAAGAGAAAAGAUGUUCUUCCGAUGUCCUGCUAGCACAGGACAAGGAAAUGGCAAGUUUGCUGUGUACAUCACACCUUUCUGGUUGAAUGUCACUUUGGACAGAGCUUCUGAGACUCUGCUGGAUGCCUGCAUAAGGGUAAUAACUGCAUUUCCUUACUUCACCUAGAUAUUGUGAGAAUAAAUGCAUUUAGCAGUGUAAUUACCAGAUGCUACAGAGGUGAGGCACCUUCAAUAGCUUUCUUUCAGUUCUUUUGUUUCUUUAAAGAUAUGGGUAAAAAGACAUGGGCAUUUGAUCAAAGCCAGAAUUUGCUUUCCCAGACUGUUCUAGUUUAUGGUUACGUUGUGCAGGGGAGCAGGGGCAGAAAGACAGCAACUUGCAUCCAUGCUUCAUGUGUCCAGCAUGCGUGAUGACCUCCCUGGGAGCCUGCAGUGCUUCACACGGCGCAAGGGACAAGGAAAGGACAGGAAUUACUGCGUUCAAGGAUUCGUCCCUUCCUCAUGCAGGUCUGCACAGCUAGCUAGCUGCAUGCGGGAGUACACCGUGCUCUUUAACCCUAUCAGCGAGCAUUUGGGUUUGUAACGCUGAAAACGCUUGGGAAAGUCACGUGCGUUUUAGCCACAUGGAUACGCUUCCUGCAUCCUACUCUGUAGCAUCAGACUGCAACUCUGACAAUGAUGGAGCAUUCGUAGUUGUGGAAAGUGUAAGCAAUUAUAAGCGUAUUAAUUAUACGCAUAAUGACUUUUAAAAUUGUAUUUAAUAAAUACUUUAAUAAAUACCUUGUGUUUCAGAUAUAGAACUGUUUUCUGUUAGUCAGAAAACCAAUGUCUAAAGCCGCUAGAAGAAAGAGCCAGAAUUGCCAGCUGAAUAUCAUGAAUGAAAAAACAUUCACCACUGUGACCAGGGCCAACAUAUUUCCCAGUGGCAGCUCCCUGUCUUCCCCUAAUUCCCCCCUCCCUUUCCCCUCCCUCCUCAGAUGCACACGCAGGCACUAUGGGAGGAAUGACAGCUGUUCUUCAUGGAAUGACAGCCCAGGGAUAUUGCAUCCUCCCUUAAAAAAAAAAAAAAAAGACAGGCAAGGUACAGAAUAAGGUCAGUGAAGGGAGACAAAGGGGUCUCCCAGAGAUGGCAAAGGGUAAUUUAUUGA